CCUAAGUUUCCCAUGUUCGAAGUAGAUUUCCUGGUUCCAUUUGUGAACCAGCUGAUCGUCGUCGGUUUUAAUAAGAGGUUGACGCCUGUUGGGUUCUAUCGGCGGUUUGCUCGCCGGGAAAAGUUCUUUAUCUUAACUUUCCGAACCGGUUAGAUGAUGCCACUUCCUUGGCAAUCGUUGGCAAAGUAAAUUUGGAUGCAGAUUUUGUUUAUUCAAACUAAAGUGACCGCAACAAGUUGGUUGGAUGCGGCCUUUUUAAAAUAGCUGGCCAACAACAAAUAGGAAGCAUCCGUAGGAUACGGCUUCCGAGGACUUAUGUAUCUACUUCUUGCAAUCCGGGGACGACAUUCCGCUUCCUUGGGGCGCUUGUUUAAUACUGAUAAAUCCCUUCGUGCACGAGAACUCGGCACAACUUUUAAGAUAGUGCUUGUUUUUGUGCCUCCCCGAAGAAGAAAAAAAGAAAACUGUAUUUGGCUUCACCAAACCUUUAUCGUCCGGAAAACCUAUUAAAGUUUCGCGGAUCUCUGCUUAUUGGGUCAGGAGGAAGAAAAUGGUUGGACUAUACAAAGUCUGCAAAUAGAACAACUGCAUUGGCAGGCACUCAUAAACACCAAUUUCAUUUACCGAAGAGAUGCGGAAGGAAAAAAUGGAUUUGGUCGAUAAGAUGGAAGAAACCUCAGAAGUUAUCGAUCAAUAAAUAACAACCGUACUAGGUAGCUGCAAAUAUUGACUCCCAAAUCGAAUAGAAGGAUAGGGGUCCGUCCAAAACCAAACAAACGGACCUUAAUCACCAUACGCCAAAAGUCUCUUAUAGGACGUGGCUGAUUUUGGUAUUUACUCCAUAUGAGAAGAUGAGCUGUCGUUAUAGACAAAG